CACCGCGUGAAGAGAACGGUGCACUGACACAGAAACCUGCCGUGGUGAGACAGCAAAGCGUGUCACAACCAGCCGUAGCGUGCGAGACAGUAUGACACAGUAAUUUACUAUGAACUAACCACCACACCUGAAAAAGACACAGUUCAUUGUGCAGGUGAAAUACGGUAAUGACGAACCUCGCUCAGAGCCAUAAAUCUGAUCCAAGCAACGAGCGGCACAGCGGGGCCAUCCAUCACGCCUGAGCCCCGCCACCCCGCACCGCCACCGAGACGCACCCCGCCCCGGCACUGUGGCACCCCAACACCCUGGCACGUUUACACCCUGGCACCACUGACACCCCUGCACCCCGCCACUCCAUGAAAGUACUCUGAUAAUAUUCUACCUAUACUGUCACUACUACUACUACUACUACUACUACUACUACUACUACCACUACUGAUUACAAAGGAGACACCAGGAUGGGAGAAGAGACAUCGAGAGAAAGGGACAGCAGCGAAGGGAGGGAAGAUGAAGAGGCACUGGAAGAGAAAAAAAAACUAAUAGUAACCUCACUAACGGCGCGGCGAUGGACGAGCAGCAAGGGGAGGCAGUGUCAAGCUGUUAGCACCUUCAGUACCAUGAGUUUCCAUAGUCAUUCUGCUUACUAUUUGAUCAAACCAACACUUGAUACAUCUGCAGCGAGGACUGACCCGAGGCUACACAGGGGAAGGAGCAGCGUGGGCAGAUUUGGUGAAUAUACUUGACAAAUGAAAACAGGAAGCACAACAGCGGCGGCCAGAGUAAACAGUGAGGAAGUCCAGCUCUCUCUACAUGCAAAUUCAGCUGCGGUGUGGCCCCUUCCUCCACCUUCUCCUCUCCCUUCCUCCUCCUUCCCUACCCCCCCAUCAAACCCUCAUUAACGGCACGGGUGAUGGGGCGGGGGUGUGAUGGAGGAGGAG